AUUGAACGCUGGAGGCGUGCUUAACACAUGCAAGUCGUGCGAGAAAGGGACUUCGGUCCUGAGUAGAGCGGCGCACGGGUGAGUAACGCGUGGGUAAUCUCCCUUAGUGAUCGGGAUAACAGCGGGAAACUGCUGCUAAUACCGGAUAGUCUUCGUGUUUAACUUCACGGGGUAAAGGUGGCCUCUGCUUGCAAGCUACCACAUUAAGAUGAGCCCGCGUCUCAUUAGCUAGUUGGUAGGGUAAUGGCCUACCAAGGCUACGAUGAGUAGCUGGUCUGAGAGGAUGACCAGCCACACUGGGACUGGAACACGGCCCAGACUCCUACGGGAGGCAGCAGUGGGGAAUAUUGCGCAAUGGGCGAAAGCCUGACGCAGCGACGCCUCG
rnacentral:rRNA from 1 species